AGGUCGCAUGUCUAGUAUAGCACUCUUUUACUGUGAAACUGCGAAUGGCUCAUUAAAUCAGUUAUCGUUUAUUUGAUAGUACCCUACUACAUGGAUACCUGUGGUAAUUCUAGAGCUAAUACAUGCGCAAAACCCCGACUUCGGAAGGGGUGUAUUUAUUAGAUAAAAAACCAAUGCCCUUCGGGGCUCCUUGGUGAUUCAUAAUAACUUCACGAAUCGCAUGGCCUUGCGCCGGCGAUGGUUCAUUCAAAUUUCUGCCCUAUCAACUUUCGAUGGUAGGAUAGUGGCCUACCAUGGUGGCAACGGGUAACGGGGAAUUAGGGUUCGAUUCCGGAGAGGGAGCCUGAGAAACGGCUACCACAUCCAAGGAAGGCAGCAGGCGCGCAAAUUACCCAAUCCCGAUACGGGGAGGUAGUGACAAUAAAUACUGAUACAGGGCUCUUUUGGGUCUUGUAAUUGGAAUGAGAACAAUCUAAAUCCCUUAACGAGGAACAAUUGGAGGGCAAGUCUGGUGCCAGCAGCCGCGGUAAUUCCAGCUCCAAUAGCGUAUAUUAAAGUUGUUGCAGUUAAAAAGCUCGUAGUUGAACCUUGGGCCCGUCCUGCCGGUCCGCCUCACCGCGAGUACUGGUCCGGAUGGGCCUUUCUUUCUGGGGAAUCCCAUGGCCUUCACUGGCUGUGGCGGGGAACCAGGACUUUUACUGUGAAAAAAUUAGAGUGUUCAAAGCAGGCCUUUGCUCGGAUACAUUAGCAUGGAAUAAUAGAAUAGGACGUGCGGUUCUAUUUUGUUGGUUUCUAGGACCGCCGUAAUGAUUAAUAGGGAUAGUCGGGGGCGUCAGUAUUCAGCUGUCAGAGGUGAAAUUCUUGGAUUUGCUGAAGACUAACUACUGCGAAAGCAUUCGCCAAGGAUGUUUUCAUUAAUCAGGGAACGAAAGUUAGGGGAUCGAAGACGAUCAGAUACCGUCGUAGUCUUAACCAUAAACUAUGCCGACUAGGGAUCGGGCGGGGUUUCUAUGAUGACCCGCUCGGCACCUUACGAGAAAUCAAAGUUUUUGGGUUCUGGGGGGGAAUAUGGUCGCAAGGCUGAAACUUAAAGAAAUUGACGGAAGGGCACCCCAAGGCGUAAACAACCGCUACUGGCGCAACGAAUCUGGGCCAAAAGAACCCCAAAAGGGGAAUUGGGUGUCCCACAUUGUUAUUUUGGGGGCGUCCCCGGGGACAACCUCCAUUUGUGGGGAAACUCCCAGCCCCCGCUUUCAAACCCCGGACCCAAAAAGUUGCGGUUGGGCAGGUUGAACCACUCCGGGGGGGGUCACAAAGUGGGGAGAGAAAUGAGAAAUCCCUCCCCAACCCCUAUUCUUCCGGUGUCGGAGAGGGGGUGAAAAAAAAAAAGAGAGGGGGUGGGGUCCCGCCCCCCCCCAAAUAAUACUUUCGUUGGUGGGAGGACGCAAUAAG
rnacentral:rRNA from 1 species